AGGACGAACGCUGGCGGCGUGCCUAACACAUGCAAGUGGAGCGACGAACCAGGCUUCGGCCUGGGGCAAAGCCGCGAACGGGUGAGUAACACGUGGGUAACCUGCCCUGAUGAUUGGGACAACCCGAGGAAACUCGGGCUAAUACCAAAUGUGACCUCCGGCCAUAAGGCCGCUGGGGAAAGGAAGCUUCGGCCUCCGCAUCGGGAUGGGCCCGCGGCCCAUUAGCUUGUUGGUGAGGUAACGGCUCACCAAGGCUACGAUGGGUAGCUGGUCUGAGAGGACGAUCAGCCACACUGGGACUGAGACACGGCCCAGACUCCUACGGGAGGCAGCAGUGGGGAAUCUUGCGCAAUGCGCGAAAGCGUGACGCAGCAACGCCGCGUGGGGGAAGAAGGCUUUCGGGUUGUAAACCCCUUUCAGUUGGGACGAAGCUUCGCCGGUGAAUAGCCGGCUGGAGUGACGGUACCUUCAGAAGAAGCCCCGGCUAACUACGUGCCAGCAGCCGCGGUAAUCUGA
rnacentral:rRNA from 1 species